rnacentral:rRNA from 2 species
ACCUGACUGCUAUCGGAUUGAUACUAAGCCAUGCGAGUCAUUGUAGUAAUACAAGGCAGACGGCUCAGUAACGCGUAGUCAACCUAACCUAUGGACGGGAAUAACCUCGGGAAACUGAGUAUAAUGCCCGAUAGAACAUUAUGCCUGGAAUGGUUUAUGUUCUAAAUGAUUUAUCGCCGUAGGAUGGGACUGCGGCCUAUCAGUUUGUUGGUGAGGUAAUGGCCCACCAAGACUAUUACAGGUACGGGCUCUGAGAGGAGUGGCCCGGAGAUGGGUACUGAGACACGGACCCAGGCCCUAUGGGGCGCAGCAGGCGAGAAAACUUUGCAAUGUGCGAAAGCACGACAAGGUUAAUCCGAGUGGUUUCUGCUAAAGAAACCUUUUGUCGGUCCUAGAAACACCGAUGAAUAAGGGGUGGGCAAGUUCUGGUGUCAGCCGCCGCGGUAAAACCAGCACCUCAAGUGGUCAGGAUGAUUAUUGGGCCUAAAGCAUCCGUAGCCGGCUCUGUAAGUUUUCGGUUAAAUCUGUACGCUUAACGUACAGGCUGCCGGGAAUACUGCAAAGCUAGGGAGUGGGAGAGGUAGACGGUACUCGGUAGGAAGGGGUAAAAUCCUUUGAUCUAUUGAUGACCACCUGUGGCGAAGGCGGUCUACCAGAACACGUCCGACGGUGAGGGAUGAAAGCUGGGGGAGCAAACCGGAUUAGAUACCCGGGUAGUCCCAGCUGUAAACUAUGCAAACUCAGUGAUGCAUUGGCUUGGAGCCAAUGCAGUGCUGCAGGGAAGCCGUUAAGUUUGCCGCCUGGGAAGUACGUACGCAAGUAUGAAACUUAAAGGAAUUGGCGGGGGAGCACCACAAGGGGUGAAGCCUGCGGUUC